UACGGAGGGGGCUAGCGUUGUCCGAAGUUACUGGGCGUAAAGCGCGCGUAGGCGGGUUGGUAAGUCCGCUGUGAAAGCCCGGAGCUCAACUCCGGAGGGUCGGUGGAUGACUGCCAGUCUUGAAGGUGCUAGGGGGAGAUGGAAUUACCGGUGUAGCGGUGAAAUGCGUAGAUAUCGGUAGGAACACCAGUGGCGAAGGCGGUCUCCUGGGGCAUUCUUGACGCUGAGGCGCGAAAGCUGGGGGAGCGAACGGG
rnacentral:rRNA from 1 species